AUUGAACGCUGGCGGCAUGCCUUACACAUGCAAGUCGAACGGUAACAGGUCUUCGGAUGCUGACGAGUGGCGAACGGGUGAGUAAUACAUCGGAACGUGCCUAGUAGUGGGGGAUAACUACUCGAAAGAGUGGCUAAUACCGCAUGAGAUCUACGGAUGAAAGCAGGGGAUCGCAAGACCUUGUGCUACUAGAGCGGCCGAUGGCAGAUUAGGUGGUUGGUGGGAUAAAAGCUUACCAAGCCGACGAUCUGUAGCUGGUCUGAGAGGACGAUCAGCCACACGGGGAAUGGGACACGGCCCAGACUCCUACGGGAGGCAGCAGUGGGGAAUUUUGGACAAUGGGCGCAAGCCUGAUCCAGCAAUGCCGCGUGCAGGAUGAAGGCCUUCGGGUUGUAAACUGCUUUUGUACGGAACGAAAAGCCCUGGGUUAAUACCCUGGGGUCAUGACGGUACCGUAAGAAUAAGCACCGGCUAACUACGUGCCAGCCGCCGCAGUAAAAC
rnacentral:rRNA from 1 species